rnacentral:lncRNA from 1 species
AAACAUCCUUCUCUACGAGGAUCAACUAAGGUGUGGAAGUCCCAAGAAGUUUGUACCUGCAGUUACCAUUUAUUUUUAUUGCUUAAUGCAUUGGGUUAAGUAGGAGAUGACUGCUUAUAUUUAUUCCAUUCGUGAGGUCAAAUAUUAUUAAUAGGUUCCUUACAAAAUCCUCCAUGAUGCAACUAAGCCCUAAACCUUACAAAUAAGCCCUUAGAUGUCACAAAUAGGUCCCUGGAUUUCUAAUUCAGACCUCUUUUAUAUAAAAGGGGUCCCGUAGCCUUUGACACCUAAGUCCCAUCCCUUACACAAAUUUCAACAACCCCACCGAACUCAAAUUACCACAGGGUAGCAUACACAACUAUCCAUGCCAUACCUUUGUUGUAACCGGGUUUGGGUAAUUCCAUAUCCGAGUCAAGCUACAAUAAGGUUUGACAUAGAUAAUUGACUAUCCAUGCUAGUGUAGGCCCCAUGUAAUACCCCAG